AUUGAACGCUGGCGGCAGGCCUAACACAUGCAAGUCGAGCGAGCGGCGGAUGGGUGAGUAAUGUCUGGGAGACUGUCCGAUGGAGGGGGAUAACACUUGGAAACGCUAGCUAAUACAGCACACUCUCAGAUGUGUCCAAAUGUGAUUAGCUGGUAGGUGGGGUAACGGCUCACCUAGGCGACGCUCCCUAGCUGGUCUGAGAGGAUGACCAGCCACACUGGAACUGAGACACGGUCCAGACUCCUACGGGAGGCAGCAGUGGGGAAUAUUGCACAAUGGGCGCAAGCCUGAUGCAGACAUGCCGCGUGUGUGAAGAAGGCCUUCGGGUUGUAAAGCACUUUCAGCGGGGAGGCGUUACCCGCAGAAGAAGCACCGGCUAACUCCGUGCCAGCAGCCGCGGUAAUAC
rnacentral:rRNA from 1 species